GAUGAACGCUAGCUACAGGCUUAACACAUGCAAGUCGAGGGGCAGCAUGGACAUAGCUUGCUAUGUUUGAUGGCGACCGGCGCACGGGUGCGUAACACGUAUCCAAUCUGCCCGUUACUCGGGGAUAGCCUUCUGAAAGGAAGAUUAAUACCCGAUGGCAUGUAUUUCCGGCAUCGGAGAUACAUUAAAGAUUUAUCGGUAACGGAUGAGGAUGCGUACGAUUAGCUUGUUGGCGGGGUAACGGCCCACCAAGGCGACGAUCGUUAGGGGUUCUGAGAGGAAGGUCCCCCACACUGGAACUGAGACACGGUCCAGACUCCUACGGGAGGCAGCAGUGAGGAAUAUUGGUCAAUGGUCGGAAGACUGAACCAGCCAAGUAGCGUGAAGGAUGAAGGUUCUAUGGAUUGUAAACUUCUUUAUACGGGAAUAAAACCACCUACGUGUAGGUGCUUGUAUGUACCGUAUGAAUAAGCAUCGGCUAACUCCGUGCCAGCAGCCG
rnacentral:rRNA from 1 species